rnacentral:rRNA from 1 species
AGUGAACGCUGGCGGUAGGCCUAACACAUGCAAGUCGAACGGCAGCACAGUAAGAGCUUGCUCUUACGGGUGGCGAGUGGCGGACGGGUGAGGAAUACAUCGGAAUCUACUUUUUCGUGGGGGAUAACGUAGGGAAACUUACGCUAAUACCGCAUACGACCUACGGGUGAAAGCAGGGGAUCUUCGGACCUUGCGCGAUUGAAUGAGCCGAUGUCGGAUUAGCUAGUUGGCGGGGUAAAGGCCCACCAAGGCGACGAUCCGUAGCUGGUCUGAGAGGAUGACAGCCAGCACGGGAGGUGCGAGGCGGUCAAGCCUGCGGCGGGAGGGGGGAGGAGGGAAUAUUGGACGAGGGGCGCAAGGCUGUUCCAGACAUGGAGGGGGGGGGAAGAAGGUCUUCGGGUUGUAAAGCCGGGUUGAUGGGAAAGAAAAGCAGCAGGUAACUCCCCGGCUGGUAGGACGGUACCAAAAGAAGAAGCACCGGCUAACUUCGGGCCGGCAGCAGGGGUACUCAACGGAGAGAAAAUGUGUAAAC